UGUGGGACCCGCCGCACCCGCCCGGGCUCUGCGGUCCUUAGCUCGUUUCAACAGUUCAGCACGGCCUCGUUCUGGCUCAGCACAGCCAUGCACGGAGGUGGCAAACGCCUUUAAUCCCAGCACUAGGGAGGCAGAGAUCUCGCUCUGCCCGGGAUCCGGAGCCAUGCCCAAGAAGCAGGAUGAGGGAGAGCUGGCAGGGUGUCCUGAGCGGAAGUGACUAAGUGCUGAACAAGGGUCCGGAGGUUGUGAGGUCAACGCCAGGACAGCCCACCGAGAAGACCAGGCAUAAGGCUGCCUCCCUGCCUGGAAGGAAGAAGGAUGUCCGGGGUCCAGGGAUGACACUGCCUUGGACCGAGGGAGAGAAGUGAGAUAUCUAAAUUAAGGAGGAAAGUAUAAAAAAAUACCUUGCCUGACAUGGGCACCCUGCCACCAUUUGGAGAACCGUGAGAAUCCAGCUUGUUCCCAAAACACUGCCACAAGGAGGUCACUGAAAAAAAGAAUAAGCUGGAGCUGAACGGGAAACCUCCCUGUUGACUAGCUGUCAGAAUGCUAGAAGAGGCUAUGCAGCCCGCAGCCUUUUGGGAGAGAGAAGUCACCAAUGGUGUUAACCAGCAGUGGACCCUGCAAGCCUUUCGGCUGCCCAGCCAGGCCAAAUGUGCCAAAUGGUGCAAUAGUGGCACGUCUGUUAUGGGGGAAACCAGCUGCUCUCCAUGGGAGGGAAUACAUGCCUGGUACUGAAAACCUAGUCAAAAGCCUGUGGCUGGGGAGGACAUGAGCUCUAGGGGACUGCUGCCUGCUGUGUCUGGCUAAAUGCAUAUAUUAUGCUAACCAAACUGCCCUCUAAGCAUUUUUCUUAAUAUUCAUACCCAAUACUUGUUGUUGUUUGUUUGUUUUCAAGGCAGGAUCU